rnacentral:tRNA from 1 species
GGGGAUGUGGCUCAGUGGCACAGCUCUUGCCUUGCAUGCACAAAGCCCUGGGUUUGAUCCCCAGCACAACCA